GACGAACGCUGGCGGCGUGCUUAACACAUGCAAGUCGAACGGUGAAGCCCUUCGGGGUGGAUCAGUGGCGAACGGGUGAGUAACACGUGAGCAACCUGCCCCUGGCUCUGGGACAACCACUGGAAACGGUGGCUAAUACCGGAUACGACCCGCCUCGGCAUCGAGUGUGGGUGGAAAGUUUUUCGGCUGGGGAUGGGCUCGCGGCCCAUCAGCUUGUUGGUGAGGUGAAGGCUCACCAAGGCGACGACGGGUAGCCGGCCUGAGAGGGCGACCGGCCACACUGGGACUGAGACACGGCCCAGACUCCUACGGGAGGCAGCAGUGGGGAAUAUUGCACAAUGGGCGAAAGCCUGAUGCAGCGACGCCGCGUGAGGGAUGACGGCCUUCGGGUUGUAAACCUCUUUCAGCUCCGAAGAAGCGAAAGUGACGGUAGGAGCAGAAGAAGCACCGGCUAACUACGUG
rnacentral:rRNA from 1 species